UACGUAGGGUGCAAGCGUUGUCCGGAAUUAUUGGGCGUAAAGAGCUUGUAGGCGGUUUGUCGCGUCUGCUGUGAAAUUUCGGGGCUCAACCCCGAACUUGCAGUGGGUACGGGCAGACUAGAGUGUGGUAGGGGAGACUGGAAUUCCUGGUGUAGCGGUGAAAUGCGCAGAUAUCAGGAGGAACACCGGUGGCGAAGGCGGGUCUCUGGGCCGUAACUGACGCUGAGGUGCGAAAGCGUGGGGAGCAAACAGG
rnacentral:rRNA from 1 species